rnacentral:misc_RNA from 1 species
GCCUUUUGCACAUGUAAUCUUGGCGCCUCCCUAAACUCUUUUGAAUAUAUCAUCUCCCUCCCUUUUCCAUUCUCCUCGGUCCUCUCUCUCUCCCGAGCUAAGGAGAUUCUUGGAAAUGGAGCAACAAAGGCACCAGAAGAUGGUUCAGCAACAACAACAUGAGGAAGUGGAGGAGAUGCAGCAUGGUCCUUUCCCUGUUGAGCAGCUCCAGGAGUCAGGAAUUGCUGCCCUUGACGUUAAGAAGCUUAAAGAUGCUGGUCUCUGCACUGUCGAGUCUGUUGCAUACUCUCCUCGGAAAGAGCUUUUGCAAAUUAAAGGAAUCAGUGAAGCUAAAGUUGAUAAAAUCAUUGAAGCAGCUUCCAAACUGGUGCCUUUGGGUUUUACUAGUGCCAGCCAACUUCACGCUCAGAGGUUAGAGAUAAUUCAGAUAACAUCUGGAUCAAGAGAACUUGACAAAAUUUUGGAAGGAGGAAUUGAGACAGGAUCUAUUACUGAGAUAUAUGGCGAGUUUCGCUCUGGCAAGACUCAACUGUGCCACACACUCUGUGUCACUUGCCAACUACCAUUAGAUCAAGGGGGUGGUGAGGGUAAAGCAAUGUACAUUGAUGCUGAGGGAACAUUCAGGCCACAGAGACUGUUACAGAUUGCGGACAGAUUUGGACUAAAUGGUGCUGAUGUUUUGGAGAAUGUGGCCUAUGCUCGUGCAUAUAACACUGAUCACCAAUCAAGGCUUCUGCUUGAAGCAGCCUCUAUGAUGGUGGAAACAAGGUUUGCCCUUAUGAUAGUAGACAGUGCUACUGCCUUAUACAGAACAGAUUUCUCUGGAAGGGGUGAAUUGUCUGCUCGACAAAUGCAUCUUGCUAAGUUCCUCAGGAGCCUUCAGAAGUUGGCAGAUGAGUUUGGUGUGGCUGUUGUAAUCACAAAUCAAGUAGUAGCACAAGUAGAUGGUUCAGCUAUUUUUGCUGGGCCUCAAAUCAAGCCUAUUGGUGGUAAUAUCAUGGCUCAUGCUUCCACCACAAGGCUUGCUCUAAGGAAGGGAAGAGGCGAGGAGCGUAUCUGUAAAGUAAUAAGUUCUCCUUGUUUAGCUGAAGCUGAAGCACGAUUUCAAAUUUCUGCUGAAGGGGUAACUGAUGUCAAGGACUAAUUCCCAAAAAUUUGGGAGGUUGUGUUCAUAUGAGCACCAGCAUGUAUUUUCCGGUUGUAUCUAUCACUUGAUCUGCAUGCAAGGGAUGCCCUAAAUCUUGUAAUUUUUUUGUUUGUUUACAAUUGACACUUGAAUUUGGAAGGGCUGUAUUGAUUAAGGUUUUUGAGGUCUUUUCUCUCUCCUGUGUAAUAUUUGAUAAUGCAUGGAAUUUUUUGAAUA